AUUGAACGCUGGCGGCAUGCCUUACACAUCCAAGUCGAACGGCAGCAUGAUCUAGCUUGCUAGAUUGAUGGCGAGUGGCGCACGGGUGAGUAAUACAUCGGAACGUGCCCUGUAGUGGGGGAUAACUAGUCGAAAGAUUAGCUAAUACCGCAUACGACCUGAGGGUGAAAGUGGGGGACCGCAAGGCCUCAUGCUAUAGGAGCGGCCGAUGUCUGAUUAGCUAGUUGGUGAGGUAAAGGCUCACCAAGGCGACGAUCAGUAGCUGGUCUGAGAGGACGAUCAGCCACACUGGGACUGAGACACGGCCCAGACUCCUACGGGAGGCAGCAGUGGGGAAUUUUGGACAAUGGGCGAAAGCCUGAUCCAGCAAUGCCGCGUGUGUGAAGAAGGCCUUCGGGUUGUAAAGCACUUUUGUCCGGAAAGAAAUGGCUCUGGUUAAUACCUGGGGUCGAUGACGGUACCGGAAGAAUAAGGACCGGCUAACUACGUG
rnacentral:rRNA from 1 species